GCCCCUUGGCCCCAGUGCUCAUUCCUGGCCAUCACAGGCCCAGAGCACAUGACGAAACCCAUCCCAAGCCCCCAGACCAGACGCCAAGAGGAGGGGGUGGAGGCAGCAAGGCUGGAGGCAUGUGUAGAAUAAAUAGAACUUUAUUCUUUAUCCAGUAGAUCUCAGUGGAAAGCCCAACAGUAACAGGUGCACCCACGGGCUCCAGGGGAAGGGGCCCCAACCCCUGGUGAAGGAGGUCGGGGCAGAGCCAGCUCCCCCAGCUGGGGGUGCAGGGGUGAGGGGAGACCCCCCUGUAGGCCCGUCCUGCGGGGUAAGGAGGGGGCACGGGGGUGGGACAGGUUGGGGGUGGGGGGCAGCUCGGGCCCCUGGCCAGCCCCUUCACAGUGGGGGCUGGGGAGCCUAGAUGAUGUGGGCCCUGACGGGAGGCAGCUCUGCCGAGGAGCCAGGUCUGGGAAAACUCUGUCCCGGGGCCCUUGCUCUGCCCUGCUCCAUGCCUCAUGGUGGGUGCAGGCAAGUCCCAGGCUGUGGGAGCAG
rnacentral:lncRNA from 1 species